UACGUAGGGGGCAAGCGUUGUCCGGAUUUAUUGGGCGUAAAGAGCGUGUAGGCGGCCUGACAAGUCUGCUGUGAAAACUCGAGGCUCAACCUCGAGAUGUCGGCGGAAACUGUCUGGCUAGAGUCCGGAAGAGGAGAGUGGAAUUCCUGGUGUAGCGGUGAAAUGCGCAGAUAUCAGGAGGAACACCAAUUGCGAAGGCAGCUCGCUGGGACGUUACUGACGCUGAGACGCGAAAGCGUGGGGAGCAAACAGG
rnacentral:rRNA from 1 species